CUCAGGGAGGUAGUGACAAGAAAUAACAACACUGGAAAUUUUAUUUCUAGUGAUUGGAAUGAUGGGAAUUUAAACCCCUUUCAGAGUAACAAUUGGAGGGCAAGUCUGGUGCCAGCAGCCGCGGUAAUUCCAGCUCCAAUAGCGUAUAUUAAAGUUGUUGCAGUUAAAAAGCUCGUAGUUGGAUGUCUGCUGGAAGCAGUCAGUCCGCCCUAUUUGUAGGGUGUGCACUUGAUGAAUUCUGGCAUCUAUGUCCCAAUGAUAUACGCGAUGGUGUUAUUAAUAUAUAGGUUAAUCCUGUAUAUUAUAUACCCAUUUGUGUAAUAUUGGGAUAAUACCGUUACUUUGAGAAAAUUAGAGUGUUUGAAGCAGGCUAAUUGCCUUGAAUACUGCAGCAUGGAAUAACAAUAUAGGAUUUCGGUUCUAUUUUGUUGGUUUCUAGGACUGAAAUAAUGAUUAAUAGGGACAGUUGGGGGCAUUCGUAUUUAACUGUCAGAGGUGAAAUUCUUAGAUUUGUUAAAGACGAACUACUGCGAAAGCAUUUGCCAAAGAUGUUUUCAUUAAUCAAGAACGAAAGUUAGGGGCUCGAAGACGAUCAGAUACCGUCGUAGUCUUAACCAUAAACUAUGCCGACUAGAGAUAGGAAACUGCCAUUUUUCUGACUU
rnacentral:rRNA from 1 species